rnacentral:rRNA from 1 species
UACGUAGGGUGCGAGCGUUGUCCGGAUUUAUUGGGCGUAAAGGGCUCGUAGGCGGCGUGUCGCGUCGGGAGUGAAAGCCCGUUGCUUAACGGCGGGUUGGCUUUCGGUACGGGCAUGCUGGAGUGCGGCAGGGGAGAAUGGAAUUCCUGGUGUAGCGGUGAAAUGCGCAGAUAUCAGGAGGAACACCGGUGGCGAAGGCGGUUCUCUGGGCAUUGACCUGACGCUGGAGGAGCGAAAGUGUGGGGAGCGGAACAGG